rnacentral:rRNA from 1 species
UGGGGAAUAUUGCACAAUGGGCGCAAGCCUGAUGCAGCCAUGCCGCGUGUGUGAAGAAGGCCUUCGGGUUGUAAAGCACUUUCAGCGAGGAGGAAGGUGGUGAGCUUAAUACGCUCAUCAAUUGACGUUACUCGCAGAAGAAGCACCGGCUAACUCCGUGCCAGCAGCCGCGGUAAUACGGAGGGUGCAAGCGUUAAUCGGAAUUACUGGGCGUAAAGCGCACGCAGGCGGUUUGUUAAGUCAGAUGUGAAAUCCCCGGGCUCAACCUGGGAACUGCAUUUGAAACUGGCAAGCUAGAGUCUCGUAGAGGGGGGUAGAAUUCCAGGUGUAGCGGUGAAAUGCGUAGAGAUCUGGAGGAAUACCGGUGGCGAAGGCGGCCCCCCUGGACGAAGACUGACGCUCAGGUGCGAAAGCGUGGGGAGCAAAACAGGAUUAGAUACCCUGGUAGUCCACGCUGUAAAACGAUGUCGAUUUUGGAGGUUGUGCCCCUUGAGGCGUGGCUUCCGGAGCUAACGCGUUAAAUCGACCGCCU